GUCUCUGGCCCUUCCUCCUUGAAUGAGCCCCAUGUCUGAUCUCGGAAGCUAAGCAGAAUUAGGCCUGGUUAGUACUCGGUUGGGAGACCACCUAGGAACACCAGGUGCUGUAGGCA
rnacentral:rRNA from 1 species